rnacentral:misc_RNA from 1 species
AGAGGAGACGCUCCUUUGAUUCCUUUGAUGCUUACCAAGACAAUCUUGGACUUCUUAGUCUGCAAGUUGUUGAUUCCUUGUGCCUUUAGAGCUAAGAGCUAAUAGGUGCCAGGCUUAGACAAUUGCUCCACGUUUCAGGAAUAAAGCAAAUUUCUUGCACAAUUAGAUGAGUUAUUAACUGAAAUUAUGCCAACUAAUUAUAUUUUCUAUCCAGUUUGUUAAAUAAUGCGCAUUUAACUACUCUGCAGGAUUAGAAGCU